rnacentral:rRNA from 1 species
UAGGGAAUCUUCGGCAAUGGGCGAAAGCCUGACCGAGCAACGCCGCGUGCGCGAUGAAGGCCUUCGGGUUGUAAAGCGCUUUUUGAGAGGAUGAGGAAGGACAGUACUCUUAGAAUAAGCCUCGGCUAACUACGUGCCAGCAGCCGCGGUAAAACGUAGGAGGCGAGCGUUAUCCGGAUUUACUGGGCGUAAAGCGUGUGUAGGCGGUUUGAUAAGUUGGAUGUGAAAGCUCCUGGCUUAACUGGGAGAGGUCGUUCAAAACUAUCAGACUUGAGAGUGGUAGAGGGAGGUGGAAUUCCGCAUGUAGUGGUGAAAUGCGUAGAUAUGCGGAGGAACACCAGUGGCGAAAGCGGCCUCCUGGCCCAUUUCUGACGCUCAGACACGAAAGCUAAGGUAGCAAACG